rnacentral:rRNA from 1 species
GUGAACGCUGGCGGUAGGCCUAACCCCUGCCAGUCGAACGGCAGCACCGUAAGAGCUUGCUCUUACGGGUGGCGAGUGGCGGACGGGUGAGGAAUACAUCGGAAUCUACUUUUUCGUGGGGGAUAACGUAGGGAAACUUACGCUAAUACCGCAUACGACCUACGGGUGAAAGCAGGGGAUCUUCGGACCUUGCGCGAUUGAAUGAGCCGAUGUCGGAUUAGCUAGUUGGCGGGGUAAAGGCCCACCAAGGCGACGAUCCGUAGCUGGUCUGAGAGGAUGAUCAGCCACACUGGAACUGAGACACGGUCCAGACUCCUACGGGAGGCAGCAGUGGGGAAUAGUGGACAAUGGGCGCAAGCCUGAUCCAGCCAUACCGCGUGGGUGAAGAAGGCCUUCGGGUUGUAAAGCCCUUUUGUUGGGAAAGAAAAGCAGCAGGUUAAUACCCCGCUGUUCUGACGGUACCCAAAGAAUAAGCACCGGCUAACUUCGUG